CUGACCACUUGAGCGUUGACCGUUUCUGAGCUUGGGUAAGCAGCGCUGGUUGUUAUGUUUUGGGGGUGUUUGGUUUUUUUUCCAAAGGCUGCUUUUGUUGUCAAGACUGGUUUUAAGAUGGUGGUUUUGGGAGGGGAAACUGUGGGUGGCGUAGGUGCCAACUCCCUGGGGCCCUGGGUGCCCGAGCACCCACAAAAUUCCCCGUGAAGGGGCUGGGCAACCACAAAUUUCAGUGCCAGGGCCAUGAAAGCUUCAUGGCUCAACACUGGAUCUGGCCUGGUGGAAGGCUCUGUCUCAUGAGACCAGGGCCCUGCAGGAUCUGAUUUCAUUCCGCAGAGCCUGUAAGACAGAAUGGUUCCACCUGGCCUUUGGCUUGGAACCAGCCUGAUCCCCUCCCCAUCUUUCCUUUUCCUUCUGUGAUCGAACCCCUAUUUGGGGACUUCCCUGGCUUUUUUCUGGCUCACUUAGGACCAGUCUGGAUAGUUGGCCUUGGUGGAAAAUUUGAUGUUUUUGAUCCGGGCUUCCACUGAAAUGAGGCUGCAUUUUAAGUUGUAUCUUAAUCCUGUUUUUAAGUUAUAUUUUAAUCCAUUGUUUUUAUACUUGAUGUUAGCCGCCCUGAGCCCGGUCUUGGCCGGGGAGGGUGGGGUAUAAAUAAAAUUAAAUAAAUAGAUAAAUGGCAAUCAUGGCCCCGGGCACUCAUGGUUUGCAGGGCCAAGUUGGUACUCCUGUUGGAUGGAACAUGGGAAGUUGCCUUAUAUACUGGCUUGGCCCAUUGGUCUAUCUAGCCUGGUAUUGCUAACACUGAUUCGCAGUGACUCUCUAGGGUUUCCGAUGGGGAGAUUUUCCAUGCCCUACUUGGAAAUGCUGGGGACUGAGCCCAGUACUUUCUUCUGCAAGUCAGGUGAUCUCCCACUGUGGUUUCAUAUUUCCCAAAGAUGAUCCAAAUGGGACAUUGCUUGUCGACAUGAAGAGGGCCGAGAGGCCAGCUGGCUAGCCCCAGCUGGGCCGUCUCCUUCCAGCCAUCCCGCUGCGUAGACCAUCACCUCUGCUCUAACGUAAAUCAGCGACCUGGCUUCAAAGCCUGGGCACACUAUCAGCAGAUUGAACUGAGCACACAGUAUAGGUGUGAGGCUUGUGGAAGCAUACUACAACUACAGAUUUAUUAACCAUAAAUCAGGACAAAGAAACAUGUCGUCUCUCUCUCUCGUCGUCUCAGAGAGAACAGCUAAAAGCAAAAGCUAUACAUACAACGGAAGUUCUCGGCUUACUGUGCUGGAAUGUAAACAGACAUGUGACACAUAACAAUCCCUUGUCUGUUCCUUAAGGUGGAAUGGAAAUGUCAACAUUGAUAUCUGACAAGGCGGAGUUAAAUGAUGACUUGCAAAGCUGUGGUUUUCCCUGAAGCAGGGAUGGGGGACCUGUGGAACUUCAGAUGUUGCUGGAGUUCAUCUCCCAUCAUCCCUGAUGGGAGCUUGAGUCCAAGGAUAUUGGACUACAACUUCCAUCAUCCCUAACCAUUGACCAAUGCUGGCCAAUGGGUUGUUGAGAGUUGGGUCCCAACUGGUGGGUUGUUGAGAGUUGGGUCCCAUCAACGUAUGGAGGGUCCUGGGCUCCUCAUUCCUGCUUUACUCCUCUGUAGGUGCAUUUAAUAUGUGAUCCCUGAUUGUUUGGGACAUGAUUGGUCAAAGGCAGGUCUACGCCAUGACUGUUCAAAGUGGUAGCAAUAGUGGUUUUCAUUCACAGUGAAUGUGACAUAGGGCAGGAGUGGAAAGUAAUGGAUUCCCUCCCAAAGAAUGCUGGGAAACGUAGUUGUUAUGAUGCUGAGAGGAGACUCCCUAUUCCCCUCAGAGAGCUACAAUUCCCAGAGUGGUUUAUCAACCCCUCCCUCUUUCCAGAGAUCUCUGGAAAUUGUGAGAGCACUUGACAAACUAUAGUUCCUACCAUUCUUUGGUGGAAGCCAUGACUUUCCUCAAAUGAUGUGAUACUUCUUCAAAUGUACAGUGCAAAUGAGGCCUAAAUAAAUAAGGUGGUUCUGGUCCCUGGUUCUUUGAAUUUCACACCGCUGAAAAUUCAUGCAUUGGGUACUAUUUUUGUUAUAUAUAUAUAUGGUAUAUGGGUAACUGUGCCCCUGAAGGCACCAGGUGCACAGCCUGGGAGUCAUUUUGGACUCACAGCUGUCCAUGGAGGCACAGGUCAAUUCUGUGUCCAGGGCAGCUGUCUACAAGCUCCAUGUGGUACGCAGGCUGAGACCCUAUCUGCCCGCGGACUGUCUCGCCAGAGUGGUGCAUGCUCUGGUUAUCUCUCGCUUGGACUACUGCAAUGCACUCUUCGUGGGGCUACCUUUGAAGGUGACCCGGAAACUGCAACUAAUCCAGAAUGCAGCAGCUAGACUGGUGACUGGGAGCGGCCGCCGAGACCACACAACACCAGUCUUCAAAGACACCGGUCUUGGCUCCCAGUACGUUUCCGAGCACAAUUCAAAGUGUUGGUGCUGACCUUUCAAGCCAUCGGUCCAGUAUACCUGAAGGAGCGUCUCCACCCCCAUCGUUCUGCCCGGACGCUGAGGUGCAGCGCCAAGGGCCUUCUGGCAGUUCCCUCACUGCAAGAAGUCAAGUUACAGGGAACCAGGCAGAGGGUCUUCUCGGUGGUGGCGCCCACCCUGUGGAACGCCCUCCCAUCAGAUGGUCAAAGAUAAGAAUAACUUCCAGACUUUAGAAGACAUCUGAAGGCGGCCCUCUUUAGGGAAGCUUUUAAUGUUUGAUGCAUUACGGUAUGUUUUGUUGGAGGCCGCCCAGUGUCUGGGAAGGCGCAGCCAGAUGGGCAGGGUAUAAAUAUUAAAUUGUUGCUGUUGUUGUUGUUGUUAUAUAUUAAAGAUCUCUCUCUUUGUCUUCUAGGCUUCUCUAAAUCAGCAGAAGAUGUCUUACCAAAGUCAGCAAUGCAAGCAAACUUGCCCACCCCCUCCUCAAUGCAAGAAGGCACCUCAGAAGUGCUGCCCCCCACCUCAGCAGUGCUGCCCCCCACCUCAGCAGUGCUGCCCCCCACCUCAGCAGUGCUGCCCCCCACCUCAGCAGUGCUGCCCCCCUCCUCAGCAGUACUGCCCCCCUCCUCAGCAAUGCUGCCCCCCUAAGCAGUGCUGCCCUCCCAAACAGGACCCCCCAUGCUGUUAAGCGACGUCUGCCACAGCCUACCCAGAGAAGUCCCCGCAAGGAGAAGGGUAGGAGGGAAGGAAUGGAAUAUGGAAGCAUGGUCUGAUAUUUAUGAUCCCAUUCGUUUUCCAUCCACCUUUGCUGUCGGCUCCAUUCUAGCAAACACUUUCCUACCUCUUUCAAAAAGGCAAGCUGAGAAGAACAGAAAAUCUGGGAAUCGAUGUAUCCAGGGCACACAGGACCCCAGCCCAUCUAGUCCCGUCAACAUCAAUGGACACUCAUCUAGUCAUCAGCUCAGAACAUCAAUAGCCAAUGGAUAUCUGUGUGUCUCACCCUGACAGACCUUGUGAGCGCUCAGCUGAAGAGUCCUGUCUGGAAAAAAACCUUCUUUGCAACCUAAUUUCCCCUAUAUUUAUUUUAUGAUGUAUCCAAAAUAGCACAUUGAAUCAUCCGAUUCACCCUUUCCCCCUUACAAUAUUUCUUUUCUUCCAAUGUAUUGCUCUGGGCUCUGACGGCAAGAUAUUAUUAAAAUUUAUGCACAAGCA
rnacentral:lncRNA from 1 species